rnacentral:misc_RNA from 1 species
AAAAUUUCGUAAUUGUAAGCGAGAGUAGUUACGUGAAGUGACAUUAACCGAACACUUGCCUCAUCCAUGAUAUACAAAUAGUUGAAAUUUGAUUCACAGUUUUGUUAAUACGAAAUGGCUUUGCAUUUGAGCAUUGGGUGUUUGUGUUGUUUAAGCCCAAUGAGGGGUCAGAAACAGAAAAUCAGAGGUGUAGCAGCUGAGAGUAGUGUUAAACUUAACUCAGAAGAAGAAGAUAAGGUGAAGCUUGGUGGCUCUGAUUUGAAGGUAACUAAGCUUGGAAUUGGGGCUUGGUCUUGGGGUGACACAAGCUAUUGGAACAACUUCGAAUGGGAUGAUAAGAAACUUAAGGCUGCAAAGACUGCUUUUGAUGCUAGCAUUGAUUCUGGAAUCACAUUCAUCGAUACUGCUGAGGUUUAUGGUUCAAGGUUUUCAUUCGGUGCGAUAAAUUCUGAAACACUACUAGGAAGAUUCAUCAAGGAAAGAAAAGAAAAAGAUCCAGAGGUGGAGGUUGCUGUUGCAACUAAAUUUGCUGCAUUACCAUGGAGGCUUGGUCGUCAAAGUGUCCUAGCGGCCCUAAAAGAUUCUCUUGCACGUAUGGAACUUUCUUCAGUUGAUCUUUAUCAACUUCACUGGCCAGGAAUAUGGGGAAAUGAAGGUUAUAUUGACGGUUUAGGAGAUGCAG